rnacentral:rRNA from 1 species
AAACCAACAGGGAUUACCUCAGUAACGGCGAGUGAAGCGGUAACAGCUCAAAUUUGAAAUCUGGCUCUUUCAGGGUCCGAGUUGUAAUUUGUAGAAGAUGCUUUGGGUGUGGCCCUGGUCUAAGUUCCUUGGAACAGGACGUCAUAGAGGGUGAGAAUCCCGUAUGUGACUAGGUGCUUUCGCCCGUGUAAAGCUCUUUCGACGAGUCGAGUUGUUUGGGAAUGCAGCUCAAAAUGGGUGGUAAAUUUCAUCUAAAGCUAAAUAUUGGCCAGAGACCGAUAGCGCACAAGUAGAGUGAUCGAAAGAUGAAAAGCACUUUGGAAAGAGAGUUAAACAGUACGUGAAAUUGUUGAAAGGGAAGCGCUUGCAACCAGACUUAGUUGCGGCCGAUCAUCUAGGGUUCUCCCUGGUGCACUCGGUCGUAACUAGGCCAGCAUCGGUUUGGGUGGUGGGAUAAAGGCCUUGGGAAUGUAGCUUCUUUCGGGGAGUGUUAUAGCCCUCGGUGCAAUGCCGCCUACCUGGACCGAGGACCGCGCUUCGGCUAGGAUGCUGGCGUAAUGGUUGUAAGCGAC